ensembl:snRNA U2 U2 spliceosomal RNA
AUCGCUUCUCUGCAUUUUGGCUAAGAUCAAGUGUUGUAUCUGUUAUUAUCAGUCCACUGCACUUUGUAUCUUAUCCAUUGACAGAGACUGUGAUCACUCCAACUGUUGUUUGAUGCUUGUCUGUUGUUACCUGCUAUCACACCAACUGCUGGAGAAAUUGGUGCUGU